GUGGUGCUCUUGGUGGCUGCAGCUAAGAGUGUAUCCUGUCAGAACCCCAAGGACAGGCCAGUACAGAUGCCUGAAUACUAGCAUGUAUGAUGAAACCAAAGGUCAAUGCUAGGCAUCUUCCUCAACUAGUCUCCCUUCAUCUUAUUUAUCCAGAAAAAGGAUUUCCAGUUGUACCUAGAGGUCAUCGAUUUAGCCAGAUUAGCAAGCUAAACAGGGAUCCUUCUCUCUCUGCUGCCUCAAAGCUGGGAUUAUAGGUGCAUGAACCACAUGGCAGCUUUUAUGUGGAUCCUGGAGACUCAAACUCAGGUCCUCAUGUUUGUGCAGUUAUCACUUUACUGACUGAGCCAUCUGCAGAGCCCCUCUCAUUGGCUUUUGUUGGUAAAUAAUAUCUCACUCUAUAAAUGUGCCACCAAAAGGUUUGCUUUAGAUUGUUUGUUUUUAUAGUUUUUAUACUAUAAAAUGGAGCUAAUAGAGCUGUUAACCCACUACAGGGUUUUUGCAGAGGCUGACAACUACUGCAUCUCAUAAGACACUAAGCUCAUAGUGAACUCCAUCCACACCUCUUACUGUUGUUACUCCUCCUGCUAUCUUAUUCUUACACACUGACUUCAGGACAUCUGGGAUGUUAUAGAACAUUGUUCUGGGGAGUUUUUAUAAUACAGAAUGUGAGAUCAGGAACUCUGGGCUUGGGACUUGAGGAUAACAUCACCUGUGUACAACUAGGUCCUAUUUUUCUCUGGGUCUCCACUCAACAACCCAGGAAAUGAAAAUGAAACUGAAGUGAAGUAUGAGUGUCCCUCAGAAGACUUUUGGCAGGUCCAUGUCAGCCCAAUGCCUCUACUGCUAUUGAAACCCCUAUAGUCUGUUGUACUUAUGACUGCAUAAUUCUGCCUAGUGUCUGAUUGUCAGAUGGGACAAAAGAUUGGUCUCAAUAGGGACCUUCCCAGACAAGUGGAGUGUUAUAGUUCAUAUUUAUACUCAAACCUCAAUAGAGAAUAUUGAGAAUUGGGAGAAUAACAAACUGUACAGACCCAUGUCACUUUAACUCAUGGGUUUGUGUGUUAAUACCUAGAAAACUACUAGAAACUUUAGGUGGUAUGACCCAGCUGGAGAAAGUAGGUCAUUGGGAGUGGUGACUUGGGGGAGAUAUUCUUCCCUGGCUCUUUCUUGUGCUCUCCCUCUGCCGCUUGGCUACCAUGGCGUCAGCUUCUGUAGUCUACCACAGCUUCUCCAACAUGAUGAGGUUAAGCCUUUGAAAUGAUGAGCUGAAAAGAAAAAAAGCUCUCCUCUCUUCAUCCACUUCUCACAGGCUUCUGCCACAGUGCUAGGAAGUCUAACAUGGAGUCUAGGAUCUUCUGAGUAGAAAGGUGAUUGGCAGAGAUGGCUCGAUGCUUCCCUGCUUGACUUGAAGGAUUCCAAAGACUGUAAGCAUUCAUCAGAUAUCUGAACUCAAGGGCUACUGGAGUAAUCAAGUGUGUGGGCAAAACCACAGGAGGAAGCAGCAUUGGACAAUGGGUGUGUGGACCCAUUUUCUCAUAAUCAUUCUGCUGCCUAACUUCGCUCCCAUUAUUACUAUAAGGGUCAAAUGAGAAGUUUAGGGAAACGCUUUGUCACAGAAACCAAGUAUAAGUGUAAUUCUCAGUACCUAUUAUGAAUUCCUUACCAUCCCAGGCCAAUGGCUUAGCUUUUGUAGACUCACUUCCAUUGACACCAGUGGAAGUCAGGGUUCAGGAGAGUUAAUGAGAUAAACCACCUUCCAAGUAGCCUGGUGCUUGGCGUGUGUCUGUCAGAAGUGUGCAUUAAAUGCUCACCACAUUGUAUGACUUCCACCUCAGGUAGCACUCCAAAGUCUGUUUGGUUCACUAUUAUUCUUAUCAUCUCCAUUUUUUUUUUUAAAUUUCCAAGUCUCAAGCUCAGGGAAAUUAAUAACUUGCUCAAAAAUACCUGCCUCGUUAGAGUCGUUUUGUUUUCAUCUUCUAAAAAGCCCUGGCUGUAAAAAUGCUACACCUCGAUUGGAAAAAUGCCAGGUAGCAUAUCUCCCACUGAGGUCAAUUUAGCUCUCCGAUCCUUAGAGGUGAAGAAUGGGGAGGUUGUGGUAAUAAUGGCAAGAAAAAUGUCUCCUGUCCAGGUGAUUUCGGCUGGAGCUCCGCUUCUGUGCUGCGGAGAAUGUAUAUGCAUUCAGCCCAGGGCCUCCAUCUGUACCGAGGAGAGCAAGUCACACUGUCUAGGAAAGAGAAUGACUCAGGAGGAGCUGCGGAGACACUUGAAGUCAACCCAGUGUUGAUGUAUGAUAACCAGGGCAUGUUACUGAAAGGCAUAACGUAAUACGAAAAGUUAUUUUUCAGCCAAUCUGCUGAUGCAGCACCAUUUUGGGUCCCUAACUGAAAAUGAUAUAUGAAUUAUCUCAACCCAAAGUCAGAAGUAUAAAUUAUAGAAUAUAUCUUUCACUGUUUUAUUUGGGCUGUAAAGCGACACCUUAUUAUUUCUCCCUCCUGGGCUUCUUUUAAUGAAUCGGGAUUUGAAAGUGAAAUAUUUAUUAUAUUGCAGGGGAGAGAUUACAUCGUGCCUCAGAAAGGGCGGGGGGGAGGGAUAUGGAAAUCAGCCGGCAUCUUGGAAAUUGGGCUCUUUCUAGUUAUGAGAAAUGGCUGAUGCGGGUGUUUUUCCUGAGCUUUGUGUUAGUUGCAGAAGAGACCCCCCCCCCAGCGUGCUGAACACAGCUUGCUGAGUCAGGGGCACCCCCAUCCCCCAACCCACUCUCAUCUGCUCUUACCCACACACCCUCCUCAUCCGACUGGGGAAGAGUACUACCUGGCUGUGAAAGAGGGAAUACCAUGAGCCGUCUCAUCCCAUGUGACCAUGGAAAGGGUACCAGAGGGGGGCAGAGGAAGGAGCCAAGUCAUCUCCAUGGGUAUGCUGGGUAAUAAGAUUUCUUAUUUGUACAAUAGGGCAGUUGUUGAGACUCAGCACUGGCAUGAUAGGUAUGUUUCUUCCUCUAGAUCCCUGAUUAGUCCUGAUGGAUGGCUCUGGGAGUUUAGCAUGUCAUGUAACUGCUCAGGGACAGGCGACCAGAUUAUCUGACUGUUAAAAGUAAAAACACCAACAAGGGAUGCUCAGGGUUCCUCAUCACACACGAAGAGAGGAGAAGCAGCAUCCUUGGUGGAUCACAUCUACUAUGAUCUGGAAACAUCUGGGUGCCAAGGAGCAAAAUAAUCCAGCACAGAAGGCUCCAAGCCCCACAAUGGAAAUAAGCGCCUGUCAGCAGAAGGACACUCGCAGUUGCCUGUCCACCCACCCGGGGUUGCUGGCACCGUGGCCAGGACAAAUGUCUGCUUUGGAGAUGGGAUCUGGAGAUGAAGAAUAAUAAUAAAUUGUGAGUGGAACAGGACCGAGCAGUGCACACACCUCCCCAUCUGCUCUGGUACAGGCUGCUGGAUUUGCCUUAGAUUAGGUCCCUGUUUCUGUUCUGACAACAGAUGCCAGAGCCAUAAAUAACUGUGUGUUUUUCCCUUGAACUUUCGCUGCCAUCUCCUGAUGCCUUGUGUCACAUUGCAUUCUGGGGAGAGGUGCAGUGGAGCAUGCCGCCAUCUCUUCGUCCUCCCUCUGUCCCAACUUCUGAGCGCUGCCACCCCAAGUCCAAGGGCAAGCGCUAAGCUGUUGGCUGUGGUGAGGUUCCCUGUGGAGCACACAGUCUGGGGACCAGGAACCCUGGCCUCUCUCCCCAGUCAUCCGGCUUGACCCCAGAUUCUCCUGGGGGAACUCUGAAGUUGUUGAUUUGUCUGCACAGGCGGGGGCACUUGUGUGAGGUCAUGGGGACGACACAUCUCUGGCCGGGCAUUUAAGAAGGUAAAGGAGAUGAAAGGAAGGUCCCACAGACCGACAGCCUAGUCCUGGAAUCCCCCAGGCAAUAGACGGCAGCAUGUGGCACCCAGGGCCCCAGCCAAGGACUGACAGUAAUAUUUUGAGGAAGUGUCUCUUCCCGCUCUGGGGGUGUCACUAACCAACUCUGUCUCUCAUCCUUAAUGGUCACCUUCCUGGCCCCGCCUCCUUCUCUGAUUUGUUUUAACUGCAUUUGGCUCACUUAGAAAGUCAGAGUUACCCUUGGUACAGACCAGAAUGGAACAGUCUAUAAUCAAGAACAGCUAAAGCUGGGCUCUCUCAGCCAGUCUUAGUGACGGGUGACAAAUGGAUAAGAGAAUAACAAGCUCAGAUGUUGGCAAACAUUCAGAAGGAGGACCCAAUCCUCUUCCUGCAGCUCUGAUUCCAGUCUUGGUCUCCUCCUCCACCACCCCUCGCUCUCCUUCCGCGUCCUUUUCUCUCACUAUCCUCUCAAUAUCAUGACACCCCUCACCAUUUCUCUUCCAAUUUCCUUAUCACUCUUGUCUCGUUUUUCUUCUUUAUCAGACCAUCUGCCAUCCCUAAAGGUACUGCCCUGACACUCUCCCUUCCUUCCCUGCCCUUCUCCUCUCCUUUACCCUCCCUUCCUCUGUUCUCAAUGUUUCUGUCUGUGAGCACCUGCCUCUGCUUCUCCUUUUGCUUGCUGCAGGUUUUCUGAGCCUUCAAAGUGCUUCUCCUAUGGUCUUUCUCCUUGCUUUCUCUUUGGAUUCCCCCCCUCUGUCUGUCUCUGAACCUUCUUCUGGCUGUCUCAUUCAUUCCUUUCUCCCCACACUUUUUUUUUAUUUUCUUCUGUCCUGUCUCAUGACCCUCCCCCUCCCCUGGUUUUCUCCAUUCUGUUCUCCUGCAGCCUGUAUCUGUGCCUCAUCCACCCCAACUUCCCCCUUGCUCCUGUGAACAUACCCCUGCUUCCAGGGUAGCAAUGCUCUCUUGCCAUUAGCAUCUUAGUUUCUUUCCUGUUCCUCCUCCAGCACUGCCCAUCUGCUUGGAGGUUUAGCAUCUACCUUGUCUUUCUGUGGCAAGCUGGUUGUGUGCUAUAUACAUGAAGGUUAGGUGUGAGUGGUCCAGGGUAGAAUAAACUAGUGGAAAACCAGAAGGAGCAAUGCAAGGGGAAGCAAUGAGAAAAUAUUCCUGGGGGGAUGCAGGAGUUGACUGGCCUCAAGGAGAGGAGACCUUGAGGGACUCAAUAAAGUCUGCAAAUCUGAAGAGGCACCAAAAGGCACUGAAGAGGACGAGGUGCAUGAAGCUAUUUUUCAUCUUUCCCAUGGAGUGUAAAACAAAGAAUGAAAGAUUAAACUGGAGCCAUGGAGAAGGAUCUGACCAGGCAAUUCAAGAGCAAUUAGAAACGGGAACCCAGGAGGCUUUGAAGCUGCUCUUAGAUAGCUUUGAGACAGGUUCAUAGGAGUGAUUUUUUUUUUUUUUUGGUGUUGUCCUUCCUUGUGGCAGAUGAUGAGAACCCCUCCCCUUUUAACUCAGACUCCUUACUUUCUCCUCACCACAGCAACAUUCUGACUCUGCACUUGCGACUCCAGACGCCUCAUUAGCCCCUGUAAACAGAUGAUGCUAUGUGAGCCUUUGAAGACGUGAUUCAUCAUCCCAGUAUCACUUGACACAGCCACUCCCACCUCAAUGCCAUGUCCUCUCUCCCUCUUCUCCAGGUCCCAAGCCCAUCCUCAAUACCACACUCCUCCCUUGACUUGAAAGUCCUGAGGAACUUGAGAUGCUCAGGCGUGGGUCCCAAUUCCUCAUUCAGAUUGUCACUUCAUUUCACCUCCUUUGGACAGCCCCUACCACCUUCUUCCAUCUCUCUUCACCCCAGGAUGCACUGGGCAGCCAGUACGAUAGAAAGUAAGACCAUGCGGCUGGCCAGCCAAGACCAUUCUGUGCUCCCAAGCUUUGAGACAGAGUCGUCAAGGUCUGAGGAUUGCCAAAGGGCAUCCCAUUGAGUGAGACAUGCAUUUUUAAUAAACUAUAUUUGACUUCCAUGAUGGGCAAGUUAUUAAGUCGUUUGACAGCCAAUGGCAUGAGGAAAUGAGAGAAUACCUUAGAAGUAGACAUUUCUUGGCAGAUAAGGGAGAAAUUCAGUGAGCUGGAGGCAAUAGAAAGGGAAAUGCAAAUAAAGAUGCAAUGCUUUUGCCUAUCUGCAUACAGUGGAGAAGCCAUUAAUAUAACAGUGAAUAGUGGGAUUUUUAUCAGUACUUGACUUGAAUGUCUUGAAAACUAGCCUAGCCUUGAAAGGAUCAGUCUUUUUAGCUUCAGACCAAGCCUCAGUCCUUUGUCUCUGUGUGGAGAAGAUGAAUUUGUUUUCUGAUGUGUUUUCCUCCUCCUUUCCCCAUCCCUCUGAAAUGAGAUCUGGGUUGGUUUUCCAUCACUCUCUGAUUCAGAAUUAUUAAGGAUAAUGAUAAGAAGUAAAUGGGUCUUUCUUACCCAGAGGCAUUUUAUUGAAUUGAUGGAUUCCCAUCCAGGCUGGCAGUCUCUCUCCCAGCACCACAGGUGGUCAAGUCAGUGAUCUUCAUUAUAGGGGACCCAUUUGAGACCCACUCUUCUAUGUCCUUUCCUGGCCAACGUAGGGUGCUACAAAGUUUCCUGUUCCUCCAGAGCCUGCAAACUGAUUGUCUGUCCUGUCUGUGUGUCCAUCUUUCACUGCUUUGAGAAAUCAUUUGCUUUGCAGCUUGUUUUUUUUUUUUUUUUUUUUUUUUUUUGUGAGCUCUUCUAGGAUUUGGGUUUUGUGUUUCCAAAUAGCUAGCUGACUGCCUCACCUUUCCUUACCCUCUUUGGGAUGACUUCUACUAACCUUGGAGCAUCUAGGAAACACACUGGCAAAUGCAGGCUACAACCUUAGUAGCAGGGUUUGGGCUAUCUAGCAACUUGACAUGACCUUGAGAAGCCAAGGGCAUAGGAGAGCUGGCUCUGCCCCUCGUCUGAGGGAUGGGAAGGGGCAGCCCCAGUGGCCUGGAUUGACCAGAUCAGCUAUCAUCCAGCCCACAGCUGGGUCUGGGGUUGGUCCAUCCUGCCAUCUUCCCCAUCUAGGACCUGCUGGAGCUUGUGAAGGAACUGGUCCUGUGGAACAAUAUCCACAGGAUCUCCACGACUCAGGGCAGCCACGGGAUAUCACAAAGGAGUUUCAGUGAGGAGCCAGUGAUGAUGGUGUACCAGAAACUAGAGGCCUUGAACCAGACCAGUGACUCAUUGCAGUGAAUAUUUGCUAGUAAAGCU